CCUAAUUAAAAACCAAUUGUUCAGAGAACAAUUGUAGGUCUUUCCACUAGUAAAGAUCUAUUUUGAUAUUGAAAUAUUAAAAAUCAGUUUAAAAUGUUAGUUCCUAUGGCUUUAUGAUGUAUUUAAUAUGAAUUUAAAGCAAAGGUCAAAAUCUAGAACGUCCUAUUAACCUAUGACCUUGACCUCAAUUUCAAGGUCACAAACCAAGGACCUUAAAUCAAAAGACCCUAGGUCUUUAAUAUGUUUGGUUAAUGAGUAAUAUCACUUUACGCGUAAUUCUAAAUGUAAGAUGGGCAAAAACUCCCAUUUAUUGUCUGCGCACCCUUUCAACCAAAAUAUACAAGUAAGGACAUGUCGCAACUAACAAUUUAUGAAAAAUUAUUUGUCGAUAUGUCAUAAGGUAUUUGAAAAUAAGUGAAAAUAAGCCAAAAUCAAAAUUUAGAAUAUGACCUUGACCUUUGACCUUGACCUCAUUUUCAUUUUUUUGGACCAAGGACCUCAAAUCUAAAGACCCUAGGUCUCUAUCACUUAUGGUUUACCAGUUUAGAAAUGCAUAUCACUUAAUUUAAAUGGAAAAGGGGGAAUAACUCUCAUAUGGAGUCUCCGUAAAGCUUCGGUCCAAAUGAAUAUCCUAAUCCUGAAGAUGUAACGAGCAAUUUGGUAAAAUAAAUUUGUCGUAAUCUUUAACGGUUGCGAAGGAGUAGUGGCCACAAGAAAAACAGUGUUUGGGGAGAUAACUCUUACAACGUAAAGUAUUUUGUUACGCAGUUGUAAAUUUUUAAAGCGUAUAAACUAUACGAUAUCAUAUUCCAAAUAUCUAAGCGACAUCUUUUGAAACAUCAAUACUACGCAAGAAAAAAAAUUAGGCGGAAGAAAAAAAAAAAAAUAAUAAUAAUAAUUAAAAACCAAUUGUUCAGAGAACAAUUGUAAGGUCUUUCCACUAGUAAAGAUCUAUUUUGAUAUUGAAAUAUUAAAAAUCAGUUUAAAAUGUUAGUUCCUAUGGCUUUAUGAUGUAUUUAUAUGAAUUUAAAGCAAAGGUCAAAAUCUAGAACGUCCUAUUAACCUAUGACCUUGACCUCAAUUUCAAGGUCACAAACCAAGGACCUUAAAUCAAAAGACCCUAGGUCUUUAAUAUGUUUGGUUAAUGAGUAAUAUCACUUUACGCGUAAUUCUAAAUGUAAGAUGGGCAAAAACUCCCAUUUAUUGUUUGCGCACCCUUUCAACCAAAAUAUACAAGUAAGGACAUGUCGCAACUAACAAUUUAUUUAUUUGUCGAUAUGUCAUAAGGUAUUUGAAAAUAAGUGAAAAUAAGCCAAAAUCAAAAUUUAGAAUAUGACCUUGACCUUUGACCUUGACCUCAUUUUUAUUUUUUUGGACCAAGGACCUCAAAUCUAAAGACCCUAGGUCUCUAUCACUUAUGGUUUACCAUUUAGAAAUGCAUAUCACUUAAUUUAAAUGGAAAAAGGGGGAAUAACUCUCAUAUGGAGUCUCCGGAAAGCUUCGGUCCAAAUGAAUAUCCUAAUCCUGAAGAUGUAACGAGCAAUUUGGUAAAAUAAAUUUGUCGUAAUCUUUAACGGUUGCGAAGGAGUAGUGGCCACAAGAAAAACAGUGUUUGGGGAGAUAACUCUUACAACGUAAAGUAUUUUGUUACGCAGUUGUAAAUUUUUAAAGCGUAUAAACUAUACGAUAUCAUAUUCCAAAUAUCUAAGCGACAUCUUUUGAAACAUCAAUACUACGCAAGAAAAAAAAUUAGGCGGAAGAAAAAAAAAAAAAAAAAUAAUAAUAAUUAAAAACCAAUUGUUCAGAGAACAAUUGUAAGGUCUUUCCACUAGUAAAGAUCUAUUUUGAUAUUGAAAUAUUAAAAAUCAGUUUAAAAUGUUAGUUCCUAUGGCUUUAUGAUGUAUUUAUAUGAAUUUAAAGCAAAGGUCAAAAUCUAGAACGUCAUAUUAACCUAUGACCUUGACCUCAAUUUCAAGGUCACAAACCAAGGACCUUAAAUCAAAAGACCCUAGGUCUUUAAUAUGUUUGGUUAUGAGUAAUAUCACUUUACGCGUAAUUCUAAAUGUAAGAUGGGCAAAAACUCCCAUUUAUUGUCUGCGCACCCUUUCAACCAAAAUAUACAAGUAAGGACAUGUCGCAACUAACAAUUUAUGAAAAAAUUAUUUGUCGAUAUGUCAUAAGGUAUUUGAAAAUAAGUGAAAAUAAGCCAAAAUCAAAAUUUAGAAUAUGACCUUGACCUUUGACCUUGACCUCAUUUUUAUUUUUUUGGACCAAGGACCUCAAAUCUAAAGACCCUAUGGUCUUUAUCACUUAUGGUUUACCAGUUAGAAAUGCAUAUCACUUAAUUAAAUGGAAAAGGGGGAAUAACUCUCAUAUGGAGUCUCCGUAAAGCUUCGGUCCAAAUGAAUAUCCUAAUCCUGAAGAUGUAACGAGCAAUUUGGUAAAAUAAAUUUGUCGUAAUCUUUUACGGUUGCGAAGGAGUAGUGGCCACAAGAAAAACAGUGUUUGGGGAGAUAACUCUUACAACGUAAAGUAUUUUGUUACGCAGUUGUAAAUUUUUAAAGCGUAUAAACUAUACGAUAUCAUAUUCCAAAUAUCUAAGCGACAUCUUUUGAAACAUCAAUAAUACGCAAGAAAAAAAUUAGGCGGAAGAAAAAAAAAAAAAAAAUAAUAAUAAUUAAAAACCAAUUGUUCAGAGAACAAUUGAAGGUCUUUCCACAAGUAAAGAUCUAUUUUGAUAUUGAAAUAUGAAAAAUCAGUUUAAAAUGUUAGUUCCUAUGGCUUUAUGAUGUAUUUAUAUGAAUUUAAAGCAAAGGUCAAAAUCUAGAACGUCCUUUUAACCUAUGACCUUGACCUCAAUUUCAAGGUCACAAACCAAGGACCUUAAAUCAAAAGACCCUAGGUCUUUAAUAUGUUUGGUUAAUGAGUAAUACCACUUUACGCGUAAUUCUAAAUGUAAGAUGGACAAAAACUCCAAUUUAUUGUAUGCGCGCACCCUUUCAACCAAAAUAUACAAGUAAGGACAUGUCGCAACUAACAAUUUAGGAAAAAAAUAUUUGUCAAUAUGUCAUACAGGUAUUUGAAAAUAAGUGAAAAUAAGCCAAAAUCAAAAUUUAGAAUAUGACCUUGACCUUUGACCUUGACCUUAUUUUCAUUUUUUUGGACCAAGGAUCUCAAAUCAAGAGACCCUAGGUCUCUAUCACUUAUGGUUUACCAGUUAGAAAUGCAUAUCACUUAUAUCAAAUGCAUAAGGGGAAAUAACUCUCAUAUGGAGUCUCCGGAUAGCUUCGGUCCAAAUGAAUAUCCUAAUCCUGAAGAUGUAACGAGCAAUUUGGUAAAAUAAAUUUGUCGUAAUCUUUUACGGUUGCGAAGGAGUAGUGGCCACAAGAAAAACAGUGUUUGGGGAGAUAACUCUUACAACGUAAAGUAUUUUGUUACGCAGUUGUAAAUUUUUAAAGCGUAUAAACUAUACGAUAUCAUAUUCCAAAUAUCUAAGCGACAUCUUUUGAAACAUCAAUACUACGCAAGAAAAAAAUUUAGGCGGAAGAAAAAAAAAAAAAAAAUAAUAAAUCAGAACAAAUACAAUAGGUCUUUCCACGGAAAAGUGGAAAGACCUAAUAAUAAUAAUCAGAACAAAUUCAAUAGGUCUUUCCACGGAAAGGUGGAAAGACCUAAUAAUCAGUAAUUCUUUCCUUGUCUUUCAAAAAGACCUAAUAAUCAGAACAAAAACAAAGUCUUUCCCAGAAAAGUGGAAAGACUUAAUUAAAAACACAAUUGUUCAGAGAACAAUUGUAGGUCUUUCCACUAGUAAAGAUCUAUUUUGAUAUUGAAAUAUGAAAAAUCAGUUUAAAAUGUUAGUUCCUAUGGCUUUAUGAUGUAUUUAUAUGAAUUUAAAGCAAAGGUCAAAAUCUAGAACGUCAUAUUAACCUAUGACCUUGACCUCAAUUUCAAGUUCACAAACCAAGGACCUUAAAUCAAAAGACCCUAGGUCUUUAAUAUGUUUGGUUUAUGAGUAAUAUCACUUUACGCGUAAUUCUAAAUGUAAGAUGGGCAAAAACUCCCAUUUAUUGUCUGCGCACCCUUUCAACCAAAAUAUACAAGUAAGGACAUGUCGCAACUAACAAUUUAUGAAAAAUUAUUUGUCGAUAUGUCAUAAGGUAUUUGAAAAUAAAUGAAAAUAAGCCAAAAUCAAAAUUUAGAAUAUGACCUUGACCUUUGACCUUGACCUCAUUUUUAUUUUUUUGGACCAAGGACCUCAAAUCUAAAGACCCUAUGUCUUUAUCACUUAUGGUUUACCAUUUAGAAAUGCAUAUCACUUAAUUAAAUGGAAAAGGGGAAUAACUCUCAUAUGGAGUCUCCGUAAAGCUUCGGUCCAAAUGAAUAUCCUAAUCCUGAAGAUGUAACGAGCAAUUUGGUAAAAUAAAUUUGUCGUAAUCUUUAACGGUUGCGAAGGAGUAGUGGCCACAAGAAAAACAGUGUUUGGGGAGAUAACUCUUACAACGUAAAGUAUUUUGUUACGCAGUUGUAAAUUUUUAAAGCGUAUAAACUAUACGAUAUCAUAUUCCAAAUAUCUAAGCGACAUCUUUUGAAACAUCAAUACUACGCAAGAAAAAAAUUAGGCGGAAAAAAAAAAAAAUAAUAAUCAGAACAAAACUAUAUAGGUCUUUCCACGGAAAGGUGGAAAGACCUAAUAAUAAUCAG
rnacentral:lncRNA from 1 species